rnacentral:rRNA from 1 species
AAUUCGCCCUUAGAGUUUGAUCCUGGCUCAGGAUGAACGCUGGCGGCGUGCUUAACACAUGCAAGUCGAACGAGAACCAACGGAUUGAGGAUUCGUCCAAAUGAAGUUGGGGAAAGUGGCGGACGGGUGAGUAACGCGUGAGCAAUCUGCCUUGGAGUGGGGAAUAACGGUUGGAAACAGCCGCUAAUACCGCAUGACGCGUCUGGGAGGCAUCUCUCUGGACGCCAAAGAUUUAUCGCUCUGAGAUGAGCUCGCGUCUGAUUAGCUAGUUGGCGGGGCAACGGCCCACCAAGGCGACGAUCAGUAGCCGGACUGAGAGGUUGGCCGGCCACAUUGGGACUGAGACACGGCCCAGACUCCUACGGGAGGCAGCAGUGGGGAAUAUUGCACAAUGGGGGAAACCCUGAUGCAGCGACGCCGCGUGAGUGAAGAAGUAUUUCGGUAUGUAAAGCUCUAUCAGCAGGGAAGAAAAUGACGGUACCUGAUUAAGAAGCCCCGGCUAACUACGUGCCAGCAGCCGCGGUACUACGUAGGGGGCAAGCGUUAU